GCUCCGUGAAGGUCUCUCCACUCGCACGCGCGCACGUUCUCGCAGACCUCUUUUCUCUCUCUCGCUGGCGCCCAGCUACGCAAACUUGCUCCCUCACUCACGCGUGGACGCUCGUCCCCGCCUUCCUCGCCUUCUUUGAGCGCCGCCGCCAAGCUGUCGUAGCGGCUGUGGCUCUGAGCGACACUGGGGCGGCGUGCAUGUGUAGAUCAUUACCACUCUGAGUCGAAGCUACGACGUGCUCGGCCUGGGCGCGCACCAAACAGCAAGAGCGGAACACGAAGACUGGCGCAGCCGACAGACAUGCAGCUUCCCGCAUAAUCACUUCAUUUUACUCUACUUACCCAUUGAAGAGAGAUCCCGCCACCCUCAUCGACACGAUUCGCAGUCUUCGACAGUGAAAGAUGCCGCGUCCUGCGGCCCACACGUCGGCCAAGGAGCGUCAGAACUUACGGCAGCACUACUACGCCACCUCGGAGCAAGAGGCGGGGCUGGCACACUUGUGGCACAUGCAGCGGCUGGCCGAGAUACGUCUAAGUCCCUCCCACACGAUUCAGGAUGUGCCUGAAGUAGAUUUUCAGCAACCAGGUGACCCCACCACGGACCACUACAGACAGCUCUACGCCGAUCGCUAUGCCCAGCAAGUGCGGCACGAUGAGGCUCACAUCUAUGCUCAGAAUGUGAAGAUACUGCAUCAGAUUCUCCUCGCCAGUGACGACAUGGCGCGCAAAGGACGCAACAUGAACCUCUUCCCGACCUCUGCGCAGGUCUGCCUCUUCGACAACAUCGAGAAACAGACGGCGCACCGCUUGCGGCAUCGCCAGAUGCGGCAGCGGCAAAUCGCGCAGGAAAAUGAGAGGCUUCUCUUGCAUCUCAUUUCCGUGUCCCCAAGCCUGCGCACCGCCAAGGAGCUCGGCACAUGGUACACCACGGUUCACAAGAAGCGCGUGCAGCAGCUCUCACGAUUCAAGCCCGCUGAGCAGUUUGCCGGCGAGCGAGUACUAAAGGCAGCCACCAGAAAACGGCUCUCCCACGGUUGCGGUGGUGGUGCUGCGGUGGCACCGUACCCGAUGACCUCGGAGCUUGCUACAGCCCCUCCACUGCUGCGUGGACACCCUUAUCCGCCGCUCUCGAUCGCCGAAGCGUCGUGCACUGCUCCAGCCUCGCUGCUGCCGGCCGUGCGCACCACGUCCUACGGAGGUGUGCCGCUUGUGCUGGAGGAUUCCGUAGGAAGCCUUGACGGUGCAGAUGACUGCAGCGGCGAUGCCACAGCAGCGGGGUACGCGGCUUCCCUGCAUCAUUCCCCGAAGCGGCUGCGAGGUACGUCUCGCCCCGACUGGCAGCCCAUCUCUGCCACGGACAUUCCUUUGUUGCAUUACGCGGCCGAUCUACAACUGCGCCGCGAAGGCGGCGGUGGCACCUCCACACGCGCGAGGGGAAGCGGUCGCACUUUUUCUGCUUCUCAGCAGCGACGAGGGAUGCAUGAUCGAGUGCAUGACACUCACAGAGAGUUGAACGUCUCGGGCCCGCAAGGCCACACGACCGCGUCUCCUACUGUGCCCCGCGUUACGCCAAGCGAAGAAGGGGGCGUGACUCAGAUGUGGCGUCACGCGCUGCAGCGACGUCAUGACCGAAUCGUAGCAGCCCAAACCGACACCAACCCAUACGCGGCGCCGCCAGGGCGGCCCUUCACGCCCGCAUUGCAGACGCGAUAUGAGGCAUCCGCGGACGGUGGCUGGAAAGCCAAUGACGGCUGCUUCGUGCAGCGUUGUCUUCCUGCACAGGGUCCGGGAGGUGCACCACCUCUUUCCUCGCCACAGACAGCCCCAGCAGCCCAACCUGGAAGACGCUUCGUUCCUGCGGCCCCAUCCGAGCCGUUUAGCAGCGGCUAUCGACGCAGACCAUUCAGUUCACCAGAAAGCGCCUCGCCAGCACCGGUGCCAAUCAAGCGGAGCGGAUUGAUAACAACGGCGUGCGUCACCACCUCAAGCCAAGCCGACAGAUCAACAGCGGCGGAGACGGCGGAAGCGUUGCUACGGCGUUGGGAGUCGAGCAGGGGUGCAUACGCACCCAUUUGAUAGCGACGCAGGGCGCGUCGGUGCAAAAGAGCAGCCUUCUUACGUCCUCAUCAACACGCAUGGGUGUCUCUAAGUCCGGGUGGGUCACCGGCACAGCGCAUCCUUCCAUUUCGGCGUCAUCUUCUGAUCCUCCACCUAACUCAGAGGAUGAGACAGUGCGCAUGUGUGAGGCGCAUGCGUUGCGCGAGAUGGCGUAUCUCCCCCCUCACGCGGUGUCACGUGCUCCGCUCUUUCGCGUUUUUUUUCGGCUUUUCUCAUUUCUGAUGGGCUUCCCCACCCGCCUCAACGUGUCGCGCCCCCCCCCUCUUUAUCUCGCCCUCUGUGUGUCUGCACUACUCCCUUGAAGACCGUGUUUCAUCUCCGUGAUCGCGCACACAGAGACAGACACACGCACGCACACGCACCCUUACGCUGGCCACGUAGCACACGCACGCCUGCUCAGAGCCGCCUAUAUCCUCCUUGAUAAGGGGCACCCGAACAUAAUAUAAACACAAGGCCCCAGCGCGACGAGAAAAAUGCACGAGCAGGAGACAUGACCCGCGCGCUCAUCCCUUUCCUUCUGUGCCCACUCUGUCUUUCCAUAUAUGCAAUCUGCGCCGUUUGGUGCUUGGCAUCAUGUACACUAUCCUUUGUAUCCUUGGCCUUUACGUAUACGAGCUGCUGAUAUGACGACUCUUCUCUUGCGCCUUUCCUAUUUCGAAAGGGUUGAACUUCGAUAUAUAUCUGCAUACAUAUGUAUAUGUGUGUGUGUGUGUGUGUGCACGUCGACUUCUCUCGUUGGGAGAUGCUCACUGUGCGAAGCCUCAUUUUAACAUCUGCGGUGCUUUCGGCUCUCUCUAGCUGCCCGCUAGCUCUCCUUUUCGUAAUUCUUCUCUUUCUCUUACCACCACCUUUC
rnacentral:misc_RNA from 1 species